GGGGGCGGCAGGGUAGCCUAGUGGUUAGAGUGGAGGGGUGGCAGGGUAGCCUAGUGGUUAGAGUGUAGAGGUGGCAGGGUAGCCUAGUGGUUAGAGUGGAGGGGCGGCAGGGUAGCCUAGUGGUUAGAGUGUAGAGGUGGCAGGGUAGCCUAGUGGUUAGAGUGGAGGGGCGGCAGGGUAGCCUAGUGGUUAGAGUGGAGGGGCGGCAGGGUAGCCUAGUAGUUAGGUAGCCUAGUGGUUAGAGUGUAGAGGUGGCAGGGUAGCCUAGUGGUUAGAGUGUAGAGGUGGCAGGGUAGCCUAGUGGUUAGAGUGUAGAGGUGGCAGGGUAGCCUAGUGGUUAGAGUGGAGGGGCGGGU
ensembl:lncRNA